rnacentral:rRNA from 1 species
AAGGCAGCAGGCACGCAAAUUACCCACUCCCGGCACGGGGAGGUAGUGACAAAAAAUAACGAUACGGGACUCAUCCGAGGCCCCGUAAUCGGAAUGAGUACACUUUAAAUCCUUUAACAAGGAUCCAAUGGAGGGCAAGUCUGGUGCCAGCAGCCGCGGUAAUUCCAGCUCCAUUAGCGUAUAUUAAAGUUGUUGCGGUUAAAAAGCUCGUAGUUGGUUCUGCGUCCCACGAUGCUGGUUCACCGCCUGACGGUGCAACUGGCAUGCCGUGGGAUGUCCUGUCGGUGGUGGCCUUGGCCCACGGCGUGUGUAGGUACUACACCGAAGCACGUCGUGUGUCGCCAAGGAUCGCCGAUCCAAUCCUGCCUCGGUGCUUUUUAUCGAGUGUCGAGGUGGGCCGACACGUUUACUUUGAACAAAUUAGAGUGCUCAAAGCAGGCUAAUUAUGCCUGGAUAUUGGUGCAUGGAAUAAUGGAAUAGGACCUCGGUUCUAUUUUGUUGGUUUUCGGAAUCCGAGGUAAUGAUCAAUAUGGACAGGCGGGGGCAUUCGUAUUGCGACGUUAGAGGUGAAAUUCUUGGAUCGUCGCAAGACGGACUAGAGCGAAAGCAUUUGCCAAGUAUGUCUUAGUUGAUCAAGAACGAAAGUUAGAGGUUCGAAGGCGAUCAGAUACCGCCCUAGUUCUAACCAUAAACGAUGCCAGCCAGCGAUCCGCCGAUGUUCCUCCGAUGACUCGG